GUGCUUGCUUUGGCAGCACAUAUACUAAAACUGGAAUGAUACAGAGAAGAUUCGCAUGGCCCUUGUGUAAGGAUGACACGCAAAUUCAUGAGGCGUUCCAUUUUAAA